AGAUGGUGGAAACGUUCCGUCCGAUUCUUCCCUCAUAAUGUGUGUGCUCAAGCCACAAUACCUAGAAUCCUGAGCAUUGUGACCUGGGUCCACCCCCUGCUCUGAUCCUAACUGCUGACCCAGACUUCAGAUUCAAAGCUGACUGAGGACAGUCAGUGUAUCAUUCAUUCCUGAACACCAGCUCCACAACUGAACAACAACCACAUUGAUGUGAGCUCCUCAUACAUCUUCAGCCAAGGCACACAGAAAAAGGAAAUGCCUGAC